rnacentral:lncRNA from 1 species
UAAACCAUAAGGUGAUGUAACCAUAGACAAAGGUGCGGUAUUCUUUGACAUUACCUUCCAAACAAGCCCUACACGAACAGGAAAACGGAAAUUAGAGGAUGAUGAAUAAAAGGAAGAACAAAGUUCAGUAUAUCAUCCAUCGAAUUGCUUUCCAUCCAAUUUUGCAAUUUAGAUCUUGAAUCUGUAGAUAGCAAUGUAACGUCUUCUCUAACAUCGUAUACAACAAAACAACCAAUAUAACAACUAAAUAUAUAAUUUUAAUGAAUAAUCAAUCUAAAAUUUAAACAAAAAUUAAAAUACCUAAACCAUAAGGUGAUGUAACCAUAGACAAAGGUGCGGUAUUCUUUGACAUUACCUUCCAAACAACCCCUACACGAACAGGAAAACGGAAAUUAGAG